UACGUAGGGGGCUAGCGUUGUCCGGAAUCAUUGGGCGUAAAGCGUACGUAGGCGGCUUUGUAAGUUAGAGGUGAAAGCCCAGAGCUCAACUCUGGAAUUGCCUUUAAGACUGCAUCGCUUGAAUCGUGGAGAGGUUAGUGGAAUUCCGAGUGUAGAGGUGAAAUUCGUAGAUAUUCGGAAGAACACCAGUGGCGAAGGCGACUAACUGGACACGUAUUGACGCUGAGGUACGAAAGCGUGGGGAGCAAACAGG
rnacentral:rRNA from 1 species